rnacentral:rRNA from 1 species
GAUGAGCGCUGGCGGCGUGCCUAAUACAUGCAAGUCGAGCGAACAGACGAUGAGCUUGCUCCUCUGCCGUUAGCGGGUGACGGGUGAGUAACACAUGGAUCACCUACCUAUUAGACUGGGAUGACUUCGGGAAACCGGAUAUACUAACAGAUAAUAUAUUCAACCGCAUGAUUCAAUAGUUAAAGACGGUUUUGCUGUCACUUAUAGAUGGAUCCGCGCCGCAUUAGCUAGUUGGUAAAGUAACGGCUUACCAAGGCAACGAUGCGUAGCCGACCUGAGAGGGUGAUCGGCCACACUGGAACUGAGACACGGUCCAGACUCCUACGGGAGGCAGCAGUAGGGAAUAUUCCGCAAAGGGCGCAAGCCUGACGGAGCAACGCCGCGUGAGUGAUGAAGGUCUUCGGAUCGUAAAGCUCUGUUGUUAGGGAAGAACAAAUGCGUAAUUAACCAUGCAUGUCUUGACGGUACCUAAUCAGAAAGCCACGGCUAACUACGUG